GGCAACAUAAAAGGAGCCGAUCUCAUUACUGGGGCCCGGACACAUUAUUUUCUCCAAGGAAUUUCUUCUUUUCAUUAUUUCUCUCCAAAGGAGAGCGAGCUGAGCCUCUCACAUUCACAAGAGCCCUUCUGGCACUCAGAACAGCGCCCCCAGAAGCAGAGCUCAGUAUCUUUGUCCAUUUGGAAGGCUCACCAUGGGGGACGCCGAGUUGCCACAGCAGAGCUUUGCCGGAGGGCCACUGGACCACAGCAUGGGACAUGUCAUCUUUACAGAUCUGGAGCCCUCGUCAGCUGCCCUGAGUAUGAUGUGGGAUCUUGCCAGUGAGGGGGCUGCUGGACCCUGACUCCUCUGAGGGAUGGGGGAAUAAGGGUGAGUCACUAACUUCUACCCUGAGAAAAAAAGACGGCCACCAGUGAGGUCUGAGGUGAUAGUUGGCCG
rnacentral:lncRNA from 1 species